AUGCGAAGCGAAGCAGUGAUGUGAAGCAAAUCGCACCAAAGCCAGUCUCAGUUCGGAUAAGAGGCUGAAACUCGCCUCUUUGAAGUCGGAAUCGCUAGUAAUCGCAGAUCAGCAUGUUGCGGUGAAUACGUUCCCGGGUCCUGUACACACCGCCCGUCAAACCAUGAGAGUCACCAACACCCGAAGUCCGUUUAGGCGGCCUAAGGUGGGGGAGAUGAUUGGGGUUAAGUCGUAACAAGGUAUC
rnacentral:rRNA from 1 species